ACGGAAGGCAGCAGUGGGGAAUAUUGGACAAUGGGCGAAAGCCUGAUCCAGCGACGCCGCGUGAGUGAAGAAGUAUUUCGGUAUGUAAAGCUCUAUCAGCAGGGAAGAUAAUGACGGUACCUGACUAAGAAGCCCCGGCUAACUACGUGCCAGCAGCCGCGGUAAUACGUAGGGGGCAAGCGUUAUCCGGAUUUACUGGGUGUAAAGGGAGCGUAGACGGCAUGGCAAGCCAGAUGUGAAAGGCAGGGGCUCAACUCCUGGACUGCAUUUGGAACUGUCAAGCUAGAGUAUCGGAGAGGUAAGUGGAAUUCCUAGUGUAGCGGUGAAAUGCGUAGAUAUUAGGAGGAACACCAGUGGCGAAGGCGGCUUGCUGGACGAUAACUGACGUUGAGGCUCGAAAGCGUGGGGAGCAAACAGGAUUAGAUACCCUGGUA
rnacentral:rRNA from 1 species